AUUGAACGCUGGCGGCAGGCCUAACACAUGCAAGUCGGACGGUAGCACAGAGUAGCUUGCUCCUCGGGUGACGAGUGGCGGACGGGUGAGUAAUGUCUGGGAAACUGCCUGAUGGAGGGGGAUAACUACUGGAAACGGUAGCUAAUACCGCAUAACGUCGCAAGACCAAAGAGGGGGACCUUCGGGCCUCUUGCCAUCAGAUGUGCCCAGAUGGGAUUAGCUAGUAGGUGGGGUAACGGCUCACCUAGGCGACGAUCCCUAGCUGGUCUGAGAGGAUGACCAGCCACCCGAGAACUGAGACACGGUCCAGACUCCUACGGGAGGCAGCAGUGGGGAAUAUUGCACAAUGGGCGCAAGCCUGAUGCAGCCAUGCCGCGUGUAUGAAGAAGGCCUUCGGGUUGUAAAGUACUUUCAGCGGGGAGGAAGGUGUUGUGGUUAAUAACCGCAGCAAUUGACGUUACCCGCAGAAGAAGCACCGGCUAACUCCGUGCCAGCCGCCGCCGUAAGAC
rnacentral:rRNA from 1 species